UGAGAGCGCAAAAAUAAAUUUG
rnacentral:miRNA from 1 species